GCGUUGCUUAAUCAGGGAAAUCUGUGUCUUGUGAGCUCAUACCCUGAUAAGUUCUGGAGUGGGAACUGGGCUGGGGUAGAGAGGUGGAGGGAGAUGACGGUGCUCUGCACGCCUUCACCACGCAUCUGGCACUUCCUCCUGGGCAGGAAAAAGCCACCAAAAUUGAACAUUUAUGGGCUGAUCCUUGCAGGAACUGUUCACCCGAAAGUCCCUUUGCUGAGGUCAUGGCACUCCCCUUGAGGAACCAGCAACAGCGGAGGGUUGCUUCUUGAGCUGCCCUUGGAAGGUUUUACAAUGUAAAACAGAGGAAGGACCAAAAACAGAUGGAGGUGAAACCAGGGGAUUUGAGGGAGCAGCUGAGGGCAAUGAUGAGUGCUGAUAGAGAUGGAGCAGGGAGGGUAGCUCUGGAGUAUUGGGAGCAACUGAUGUAGGCUGGUAGUGCCCCCCUGCCCUGAGACCUGCAGCAGCACAGUGCUGGAGUAGCUGUGGUUCUUGAGGGCUGUGUGAUACAUGCUCGCUCCAUAGGAGAGAGAGGGAGAAAUCAGUCGCUCCUCGAGGAGAUCCGUCUCCAUCAGUCAACCAGCUGCAUCCCUUCAUAAAUCUUCCCUAAAAAAUAUCAGCACCUUCUCAGGCUGCCAUCUGUUUAUUUGGUUGGACUCAGAACUUGCUGAAAUGUCUUUCGAUGGAUGAAGCAACGGAGAGUAGAAGAACAGAGCCUGGCAGGCUGCUUGGUGAGUGGAAAAUAAUUUUUUGGGACAUUCUGGAGUUUGAAGCCCUGAUGAUGGAUGUGCAUGCAAGAGAUGGUAAUGGCUUUGUAAGUAUCAAAACACAGAGCAAGAGAAUAACUCUGCCUAAUAGACUGAGGAAUGGAUGCUGGGCAGGAUCUGUUCUGCUCUGACACAGCUGGAUGAUGGAGUGCUGUGGGCUCGGGAGUUAAACACUGCAUUUGUUUAAUGUGUUGGAAAAAAAACCCAGGAUAAGUAGUUUUGAAAAAUAUUACAUGCUCACUAUGAAUGUGUUGGAAAAUCGUAGCAUCGCUAAGGUUGGAAAAGACCUCUAAGAUCACCACGUCCAACUGUUAACCCAUCACCAGCACAGCCAAGCUCACAGUGUUGGGUAUGGGGGUUUUGCUGGUUGCUGCACCAAGGAAAGGCUUUGCUGAUCCCACUCCUAGUUAAGGGGGUUUUGGUGCCCCACUUCCAACCUGGCUGACGUGGAAGCAGGGCUGAGCUGGCAGAUGUGGGUGAUCCUCAGCAUGGGUGCUGCCUUUUAUCCGCAUGCUGACUGAGAGCAGGAUAGGGGCACAGGCUGCCAGGGACCACAGAGCUGUGGCACUGAGGGAGGUAGCAGUGGGAUUGGUGGGGUGGGCUUGGGGAUCUGAGAGGACUUUUCCAACCUUCGUGUCUCUGUGAUUCUUUAGGGUGAUGUUUUGGUUUUUUUCCCUGCUUGAAGGGUUUUUCUCUGGGUUAAUCCAGCACAACUCCUGGAACAGGUGGAAGUGAGAUAGCAGAUAACAGGACUGCAGGAGUGUCUGCAUGGCAGGUUUUUGGGACUGGAUGUCUUCCCUCCCAACACCUGGUGGCUUUGUCCAGCUGCAGCCUUGGGAGGAUGAUCUGCCUGUGUUUGGCUCGUGUCCUUGGGGGCUGAAAAUGAAAAACAACAAGAAGAGAAAACUUGCUGUCAGCAAUACUCUGUAUAUCCAGAGCUGUGCUAGGGAACCGCCAAGCUUCCUGAUACCCUGUGUUGGCUGAGAGGCAAUGAGAUUAAGGGAAGCAUAACUUCCAUAAAGAAUUUUUUUGAAGGGCAAAACAAAACAGAUCAUUUCCUCGAUUUAAUGUGAGCCAAUUAUGGCUCAUGGGCUGUUAACUUCAUCACCGCUUCUUCCAAGAAAGACGUUGGGUAAAACGAACCAGCACAGCUCCGCGUGCGCCCGGCAAAGCCUCAGCCCUGGCCAUUUAUCCCCGCGGAUGGAAAAAAGCUAAAGCCUAUGUCACACAAAUGCCCUCUAAAGUAUCCAACCACUUGUUGUACAUCUGCUGACGGAUACCAACUGGAAAGGAGAUUAGCGCUCAGACUCCCGCGCUGGGCUGUCUGCUGCUCCUAAUGAGGACCAGAUUGCAGCCCCCGCCGGCGCUGCACCUCCAGCGGAUGGCGGGAUGGGGAGGUGCCAGGGCGCGUGCCAGCAGCGUGG